rnacentral:rRNA from 1 species
AUUGAACGCUGGCGGCAGGCCUAACACAUGCAAGUCGAGCGGAGCGGCGGAAGGGUGAGGAAUGCCUAGGAAUCUGCCUGGUAGUGGGGGAUAACGUCCGGAAACGGGCGAUAAUACCGCAUACUUGCAGCCGAGCCUAGGGCGGAUUCGCUAGUAGGUGGGGUAAAGGCCUACCAAGGCGACGAUCCGUAACUGGUCUGAGAGGAUGAUCAGUCACACUGGAACUGAGACACGGUCCAGACUCCUACGGGAGGCAGCAGUGGGGAAUAUUGCACAAUGGGCGAAAGCCUGAUCCAGCCAUGCCGCGUGUGUGAAGAAGGUCUUCGGAUUGUAAAGCACUUUAAGUUGGGAGGCGUUACCAACAGAAUAAGCACCGGCUAACUUCGUGCCAGCAGCCGCGGUAAUUC